GAGACCUAUGACAUAGUGGCUGUUGAGGUUGCUGCACAACUCCAGCAAAAUGAGCAAGAGAACGAGGAACAAACAUCUGCUGCAGGGGAAGAGGACCCACCAAACAUAGACAUGGAAGAGGAACACAGAGCUUUGUCAUCUUCCCUGUUGGAGGAUCUGCUGGAGAAGCACUUCACUCAAGCCGAAAGGCAGCCACAGCCCCGAUCUGCCUACGCCAGGGCUCAAGAAGAAGUUAACAAGUACUGAACUAGUACUCCAGCUCUCCGUCUCUCUGAGGACCCUCUUGACUGGUGGGCAAGGAAUGCAGUACAUUUUCUUCUUAUUUCCAGGCUUGCCAAGAGGUAUCUGUGUAUUCCAGGCACCAGUGUUGCUGCAGAACAAGUUUUUUCCACUGCAGGAGACAUCAUCACUGCACAACGCAGCACACUCUCAUCUAAGCAUGUGGAUCAACUCCUGUUCUUAUACAAGAACACUAGAGUUCAAAUGUUCAUGCAUUUCCAUUCCAAUGGAUAUUUCCAUAAAGGUUAAUAAGAUAUAAUGGAAAUGACAAAUGCAGUGUUUUUUGAACUGCAAGUGAUGAAUGCUCAUUCAGUGAGACAAAAAGAAAUGUGGAAAAAGUGCAUCAUAUACAUAAAUUAAAAAUGCAUCAAUAAUCGUUUUAUAA